UGGGAACGUACCCUUUGGUUCGGAACAACCCAGGGAAACUUGGGCUAAUACCGGAUAAGUCCGUAAGGAGAAAGAUUUAUCGCCAAAGGAUCGGCCCGCGUCUGAUUAGCUAGUUGGUAGGGUAAUGGCCUACCAAGGCUACGAUCAGUAGCUGGUCUGAGAGGAUGAUCAGCCACAUUGGGACUGAGACACGGCCCAAACUCCUACGAGAGGCAG
rnacentral:rRNA from 1 species